rnacentral:rRNA from 1 species
GACGAACGCUGGCGGCGUGCUUAACACAUGCAAGUCGAGCGGAGCGGCGAACGGGUGAGUAACGCAUGAGUAACUGCCCCCCUCCCUGGGAUGGGAGUUGAAAACGGGUGCUAAUACCGGAUAGUGGGGGAUGAGUGGCGUCCUAUGAGCUUCUCGGUGGGGUAGUGGCAUACCAAGGCGACGACGGGUAGCCGGCCUGGGAGGGCGACCGGGCACAUGGAGCUGCGAGAGGUACCAAACGCCAACGGUGGGCAGCGGUGGGGAAUAUUGCACAAUGGGGGAGAGCCUGAGGCAGAAGCGCGGGUGUGGGAAGACGGCCUUCGGGGGAGAAACCGCUUGCAGCCAUUACGCGGUAGUGGCAGAAGAAGCACCGGCUAACUCCGUGCCAGCAGCCGCGGUAAUAC